ACGAAGCCAUUUUGGCAUCAUUUCUUUCUAUUCUGUGAAUUUAUCUUUGCUUUGGGUGGUUUGUUUAGCAGUUUUGUUUUACAACCGCCCAAAUAACAAAACUCUUAAAUUUUUUGAAAUUGUCUGACUGAUUAAAAAAAAUUAAUCA
rnacentral:misc_RNA from 1 species